rnacentral:ncRNA from 1 species
AUUCUAGAGCUAAUACAUGCAGUGAGCCCGAAGCCCCUCGGGGCGACGGGUGCUUUUAUUAGACCAAGAUCAAUCGGGCUUCGGUCCGUUUUGUGUGGUGACUCUGGAUAACUUUGUGCUGAUCGCACGGCCACGAGCCGGCGACGUUUCUUUCAAGUGUCUGCCUUAUCAACUGUCGAUGGUAGGUUAUGCGCCUACCAUGGUUGUUACGGGUAACGGAGAAUCAGGGUUCGAUUCCGGAGAGGGAGCCUGAGAAACGGCUACCACAUCCAAGGAAGGCAGCAGGCGCGCAAAUUACCCACUCCCGGCACGGGGAGGUAGUGACGAAAAAUAACAAUACGGGACUCUUUUGAGGCCCCGUAAUUGAAAUGAGUACACUCUAAAUCCUUUAACGAGGAUCCAUUGGAGGGCAAGUCUGGUGCCAGCAGCCGCGGUAAUUCCAGCUCCAAUAGCGUAUACUAAAGUUGCUGCGGUUAAAAAGCUCGUAGUUGGAUCUCAGUUACAGGCGGGAAGUGCGUGGACACCACGUUACGGCCCGUGCUGAACAUCAUGCCUGUCGUGGCUUGGUUCCCUUCAUCAGGUGCCUUGCUUUGGCCGGCGCGUUUACUUUGAAAAAAUUAGAGUGCUCAACGCAGGCGAUUCGCCUGAAUAACAGUGCAUGGAAUAAUAGAACAAGAUCCUGUUUCUGUUCUGUUGGUUUUUGGAAUACAGGAUAAUGAUUAAGAGGGACAGACGGGGGCAUUCGUAUUGCGGCGCUAGAGGUGAAAUUCUUGGACCGUCGCAAGACGAACUACUGCGAAAGCAUUUGCCAAGAAUGUUUUCAUUGAUCAAGAACGAAAGUUAGAGGUUCGAAGGCGAUCAGAUACCGCCCUAGUUCUAACCAUAAACGAUGCCAACCAGCGAUCCGCCUGAGUUACUCAAAUGACUCGGCGGGCAGCUUCCGGGAAACCAAAGUAUUUGGGUUCCGGGGGAAGUAUGGUUGCAAAGCUGAAACUUAAAGGAAUUGAC